AUGGACAUACAGAGUCAGUCCAUUGACAAUUCUUUUGCACAGCAGAAGUUUUUAAUUUUAAUGACUUUCUGUCAUUGUAUCUCUUAAUGAAAAAGUUGAAGGAGAGAACCACUUUCAGAGAAUGCCGAGAGAACUCUGGAUGAAGACGUACCUUAUGCAUGUGUGUGAUCAUGUGCAGGUGUGCAUGUGAGCAUAUGACUGCAUAUUCUUCUCCGUGUAUGCAUGAAACACAUUCCACUAUGUGUUUCUGAAGGUGGGGCUCUCCUGAUGGAUCUGGGGUCCAUUGUAAGACCCAGUUAAGAGUUUCACAGUCACUGCCCACUCUCAAGGAAGUUAGUGUAUGUCCCCCUUAGAAGCUGCCUUACGGCAUUCACGAAAAUUAACUCAAAGUUUAUCAUAGACCUAAAUGAAAAGUGAGUAUAAAAUUUCUAGAAGAUAAUACAGGAGAAAAUCUAGAUGACCUUAAGUUUGGUGAUGACUUGUUAGAUACAACACCAAAAGAACAAUCCUUGAAAGAAGCAAUUGAUAAGUUCUGUGUCAUUAAAAUUAAAAAUUUCUGCUCUGCAAAAGAAUUGUCAAGAGAAUGACAAUACAAGCUGCAGACUGGGAGAACAUAUUUGCAGGGAACAUAUCUGAUAAAGGACUUACAUUCAAAAUACACAAAGAACUGUUAAACUCGACAAUAGAAAACAACUCAAUUAAAGAAUGGGCAAACAAUCUGAGCAGACACCUCACCAAAGAAAAUAUACACAUAGCAAAAAAGAAUAAGGAAAGAUGCUCCACAUCAUAUGACAGUAGCAAUUUCAAAUUAAAACAAUAGUUGUUUUUUUUUUUUUUUUUUUUUUUGAGACAGAGUCUCGCUCUGUUGCCUGGGCUGCAGUGCAGUGGCCGGAUCUCAGCUCACUGCAAGCUCCGCCUCCUGGGUUCACGCCAUUCUCCUGCCUCAGCCUCCCGAGUAGCUGGGACUACAGAGCGCCUGCCACCUCGCCCGGCUAGUUUUUUGUAUUUUUUAGUAGAGACGGGAUUUCACCAUGUUAGCCAGGAUGGUCUCGAUCUCCUGACCUCGUGAUCCACCCGUCUCAGCCUCCCAAAGUGCUGGGAUUACAGGCUUGAGCCACCGCGCCCGGCUAAAACAAUAGUUGUGUACCACAACCCACCUAUUAGAAUGAGUAAAAUCCAAAACUGACAACACCAAAUGCUGACAAGGAGGUGGCUCAACAGGAACUGUCAUUCAUUGAUGAGGGGAAUGCAAAACGGCACAGCUACUUUGGAAGGCAGAUUGGAGAUUUCUUGCAAAGCUAAACAUAUUCUUACCAUGUGAUACAGCAAUCAUGUUCUUCUGUAUUAACCCAAAAGAGUUGAAAACGUAUAGCCAUACAAAAAAUUUCUGCACAGAUAUUUAUAGCAGCUAUGUAUUCAUAGUUGCCAAAUCUUGUAUGUAACCAAGAUGUUCUUCAAUAAGUGAAUGGAUAAACGAACUGUGUUAUGUUCAUACAAUGAAAUACGGUUGGGCGUGAUGGCUCGUACCUGUAAUUACAGCACUAUGGAAGGCCAAGGCACGUGGAUCAGUUCAAGUCAGGAAUUUGAGACCAGCCUGGCCAACAUGGCAAAACCCCAUCACUACUAAAAAUACAAAAAUUAGCCAGGCAUGGUGGCAUGCGCCUGCAGUUCCAGCUACUUGGGAGGCUGAGGUGGGAGAAUUGAUUGAACCUGUGAGAUGGAGGUUGCAGUGAGCUGAGAUGGAGCCACUGCACUCCACCCUGGGUGACACAGUGAGACUUUGUCUCAGAAAGCAAGCAAAAAAAAAAUCUAUCUAUCUAUCUAUCUAUCUAUCUAUCUAUCUAUCUAUCUAUCUAGAUAUAAAAUUUGGCAAUAAAAAGAAAUCAGGCCUCAGAAAGACAUGGAAGACCUGAAAUGUAUAUAGCUAAGUGAAAGAAGCCAGUCUGAAAAGGGCACAUACUAUGUGAUUCCAACUAUAUGACAUUCUGGAAAAAUGAAACUGUGAAGACAGUACAAAGAUAGUAGUUGCCAGGAGUUUAGGGAGGAGGAAGGAUGAAUAGGUGCAGCACGUGGUUUUAGGGCAGAGAAACUAUUCUGUGUGAUACUGAAAUGGUGCAUAAUAUUAUGCCUUAUUCAAAACCCAUAGAACUGUACACAGAAAAAAUAAAACCUAAUGUAAACUAUAGACUUUGGUUCAUAAUAAUAUAUCAAUAUUGGUUAAUCAUUGUAACAAAGGUACCAUACUUAUAAAAGAUGUAAGGGGAAAAAGAAGUAUAUAGGAACUUUCUUCCAUUCCAAGAUGGUCAAAUAGGAACAGCUGCAGUCUGCAGCUCCCAGAGAGAUCGAUGCAGAAGAUGAGUGAUUUCUGCAUUUCCAACUGAGGUACCUGGUUCAUUUCAUUGGGACUGUUCAGACAGUGGGUGCAGCCCAUGGAGGGUGAGCCAAAGCAGGGCAGGGUAUUGCCUCACCCGGGAAGCACAAGGGGUUGGGGGAUUUCCCUUUCCUAGCCAAGGGAAGCCAUGACAGUGUGUACCUGGAAAAUUGGGACACUACCGCCCAAAUACUGUGCUUUACCAACAGUCUUAGCAAAUGGCACGCCAGAUUAUAUCCCAUGCCUGGCUCAGCAGUUCCCACACCCACGGAGCCUUGCUCACUGCUAGUGCAGCAGUCUGAGAUCGAACAGCGAGGUGGCAGCCUGGCUGGGGGAGGAGAGUCCACCAUUGCUGAGGUGUGGGUAGGUAAACAAAGCAUACAGGGAAGCUCAAACUGGGUGGAGCCCUCCUCAGCUCAGCAAGGCCUCAGCAUUCCACCUCUGGGGGCAGGGCAUAGCUAAGCAAAAGGCAGCAGAAACUUCUGCAAACUCAAACGGCCCUGUCUGACAGCUCUGAAGAGAGCAGUGGUUCUCCUAGCAUGGUGUUUGAGCUCUGAGAACGGAUAGACUGCCUCCUGAAGUGGGUCCCUCACCCCGAUGUAGCCUAACUGGGAGACACCAGGAGGGGCCGACUGACACCUCAUACAGAUGGGUGCCCCUCUGAGAUGAAGCUUCCAGAGGAAGGAUCAGGCAGCAAUAUCUGCUGUUCUUCAGCCUCCACUGGUGAUACACGGGAAAACAGGGUCACGAGUGAACCUCCAGCAAACUCCAAUGGACCUGAAGCAGAGGGACCUGACUGUUAUAAGAAAAACUAACAAACAGAAAGGAAUAGCAUUAACAUCAACAAAAAGGACAUCCACAUCAAAAAAACCCCAUCUGCAGGUCACCAACAUCAGAGACCAAAGGUAGAUAAAACCACAAAGAUGAGAGAAACCAGAGCAUAAAACCUGAAAAUUCUAAAAGCCAGAUCACUUCUUCUCCUCCAAAGGAUCACAGCUCCUCACCGGCAACGGAACAAACCUGGGCAGAGAAUGACUUUGAUGAGAUGACAGAAGUAGGCUUCAGAAGGUUGGUAAUAACAAACUUCAAGCUAAAUGAGGAUGUUUGAACUCAUCACAGGGAAGCUAAAAACCUUGAAAAAGGAUUAGACAAGUGGCUAACUGGAAUUAACAGUGUAGAGAAGACCUUAAAUGAAUGGAGGGAGCUGAAAACCAUAGCAUGAGAACUACGUGACACAUGAAAAAGCUUCAAUAGCCGAUUCAAUCAAGUGGAAGAAAGGGUAUAAGUGAUUGAAGAUCAAAUUAAAGAAAUAAAGU
ensembl:lncRNA